UAUAGCAUGGAGUACCGAAUUGCACUCGAUAAUUACAUGGGAGCUUCAGUGUGGGGAAUAAAGAGUUACCAAAAUAACACAUUGUUUCUGACAGAAUGGGAGGAAAGUGUAGUUCUGAUUCCAGCAGGAGCAGCUGCCUGCCAUGAGCCUAAGGUCCAGCCUGCUACUGUGCGCACAGAUGUGAAACAGCUCAAGACUCUAAGAAGCAGAGUCCUGUGGGUGGAACAUGCCUUUCUCUGAGUAAUAAGAUACACAGGCCCUCAUAACUACGUGUCCUGCUGUGUGUGGAGUGUGACUAGGUCCAAGAUGAGUCAGUAUUGGUCGCAAUUCAGGUCAGUAGUGUCAGGAUAGCAAACAGCAGAGGUGACACAAUCCAACAUAAACAGCCAGGCCUCUGAUGAAUUGGCAUGAAUCAGCGGGAUUGACCAGAAUCAGCUGGAAUGAUGCCAGGAGUUCUCUGCAAUACCUCUCUCAAUGGAGCAAAGUCUCCAGUUGAUGAACUGCUGCCUGUGGAAGAGGAAAUAAAACUCACAGCUACUGUUCCCAGAACGAGGCACUGUCUGCUUCCCACCACGAUGAUAAUGGACCAACCCUCUAAAACUGUGAGCAAGCCUCCGGUUAAAUGCUUUUCCUGUUAAGAGUUGCCUCAGUCAUGGGGUCUCCUCACAGCAACAGAACAGAAACUAAGACAGAUCAUUUUUUUUCACCUAUGUUUGGAACUUAGCUAUUUAAGACACGAUAUAUAUGUUUUCAUGUGUGUCCCCAUCUGCUUGUGAUGACGUCAAUACAUCUCCUAUAUCAGACUAGUAGAUCACACCCCACGAUGUCACCUUGUGGUUUUAAGACAGUUAAUUUACAUAAUAUACCAACUGGGUCUUGCAGAUUCUUCUGCAGCCAUGAACCUUUAACACUGUGGCAAAAAUAAGUGGCUCUUUCUUUUUGGAUUUCUUCCUGACCACCCCAGAUUCUUACAAAAACAAAUA